UACGAGUGCUCCAAGCGUUAUCCGGAAUUAUUGGGCGUAAAGGGUGUGUAGGCGGUUUUGUUAGUCUUUUGUUAAAGCUCCGGGCUUAACCUGGAAAGUGCAAGAGAAACGGCAAAACUAGAGGAUGCGAGAGGUGAACAGAACUCAUAGUGUAGGGGUGAAAUCCGUUGAUAUUAUGGGGAAUACCAAAUGCGAAGGCAGUUCACUGGCGCACUCCUGACGCUGAAACACGAAAGCGUGGGUAGCGAAUGGG
rnacentral:rRNA from 1 species